rnacentral:rRNA from 1 species
GGUUAAGCGACUAAGCGUACACGGUGGAUGCCUAGGCAAUCAGAGGCGAUGAAGGACGUGCUAAUCUGCGAAAAGCGUCGGUAAGGCGAUAUGAACCGUUAUAGCCGACGAUGUCCGAAUGGGGAAACCCAGUGCAAUUCGUUGCACUAUCGUUUGAUGAAUCCAUAGUCAAACGAGGCGAACCGGGGGAACUGAAACAUCUCAGUACCCCGAGGAAAAGAAAUCAACCGAGAUUCCCCUAGUAGCGGCGAGCGAACGGGGAGCAGCCCAGAGUCUUAAUCAGCAUCAGCAUCAGGAGAACGGUCUGGAAAGGCCGGCAAUAAAGGGUGAUAGCCCCGUAUCCGAAGGUGUUGGUGUUGUGAACUCGACGAGUAGGGCGGGACACGUGUUAUCCUGUCUGAAUAUGGGGGGACCAUCCUCCAAGGCUAAAUACUCCUGAUUGACCGAUAGUGAACCAGUACCGUGAGGGAAAGGCGAAAAGAACCCCGGCGAGGGGAGUGAAAUAGAACCUGAAACCGUGUACGUACAAGCAGUGGGAGCCUUGAUUUAUCAGGGUGACUGCGUACCUUUUGUAUAAUGGGUCAGCGACUUAUAUUCUGUAGCAAGGUUAACCGAAUAGGGGAGCCGUAGGGAAACCGAGUCUUAACUGGGCGAAUGAGUUGCAGGGUAUAGACCCGAA